rnacentral:rRNA from 1 species
CCAGACUCCUACGGGAGGCAGCAGUGGGGGAUAUUGGACAAUGGGGGAAACCCUGAUCCAGCGACGCCGCGUGAGUGAGGAAGUAUUUCGGUAUGUAAAGCUCUAUCAGCAGGGAAGAAAGAAAUGACGGUACCUGAGUAAGAAGCCCCGGCUAACUACGUGCUAGCAGCCGCGGUAAUACGUAGGGGGCAAGCGUUAUCCGGAUUUACUGGGUGUAAAGGGAGCGUAGACGGCAGUGCAAGUCUGGAGUGAAAGGCGGGGGCUCAACCCCCGGACUGCUCUGGAAACUGUAAAGCUGGAGUGCGGGAGGGGCAGGCGGAAUUCCUGGUGUAGCGGUGAAAUGCGUAGAUAUCAGGAGGAACACCAGUGGCGAAGGCGGCUUGCUGGACAGAGACUGACGUUGAGGCUCGAAAGCGUGGGGAGCAAACAGGAUUAGAUACCCUAGUA